rnacentral:lncRNA from 1 species
CGAAGUCGGGGGGUCGGCUUAUACACGGAUCGGCUUAUAUUCGAGUAUAUACGGUAGUUAAAAGGAUCAUAAUGCAUUGUUCUACACACUGGAAUAGAUGUGAGGAAUUUGACAAAAUUAUCAAUGAUAGAAAAGCACAUGAAUAUAGUUUUGUUUAUUAAGAAAAUUUAUAACAAAGUUGUCACAACAAAUAAUACUAACCAUCAGAGCAGGAAGAUUACAGAACAGAGGCAGCUACAGAGAAUUAAUUCACAUGAGGAAGAAAAUGAAAGAAUAUAUAUAUGUAUGCCAUCAGUAGGUACAAAUAUAAAAGUGCUUGAUAAAAUAGCAGAGGAUCCAAUCUUAGAAUAACAUAUAAAAGAUCACCUACUGUAUUUUGAUAGUGAAGAAACAAUAAAUCUCUAUUCCCAGAUCGAAGAUCACGAAUAUUCAUAGUAUCAAUCUGUAAUUUAGAUCUGAAUACAUAAGAGGAGUAUGUAGGAGUGAAAAGUAGAAAUUUAAAGGAAAGGCUAGAGAAACUUAAAAAUAUUGAGAAAGAUAAUUUAAAGACAGCAUUAGGUAGAAAUGCUUUGAAUAUAAUGUAGAAGUUAAAAGUUAGUUCCCGCUAUCUGCUGCAGAAAGCAGAAUGGUCAAAAUUGUUAUGGAUAAAUAAUGCCAGGGCAAAGUAAACGUUCAAACAGACUGCACAACAACACAAAAUAAAAUUAAUACACUCAGAAGCCCUCUGGCAGUCAAAGGAUUUUAAUCAUAAACGUUUUCAACGCUCUUGGCUUCUUCCUCAGCUGCAUAGGAGUUGGGAGCCGACUGACACAACAUAAACAAACAGGACCAAGAUUU